CAGACUCUUGUGGCUUACCGUGGAACCGACCGCUGCCCAGGCUACGGGAAUAACAUUGUCAUUAGAGCAAGACAAAAGCUACGCCUUGUAUGACAUCAUAAGCUUGCAAAAAUAUGCUUAAGGGUAUAUUAGACCACGUACGAAACUGUCAGUGGUUAUGGGGUGGUUUCCUAGAAUUGUCAAGCUUACGUCUAUACCAUUAGUAAAUGAGCAGAAGCUAUUCUAGAGAAAAAACUAUCACAAAGUAGAACGAAUUGUCAUUCUCAGUGAUAAUCAAGCAGCACUUCAGGCAAUCUAAUCUGUUGAAAUCAAAUCAACUAGUACUAGAGUGCAUAUACAUAAAUGCUUACUGAAAAUAAAAUCCUACCAGCAUGAAUUCCGGGCAUGGAGUCAUUAAUGGAAAUGGGUUAACUGGCCUUCUGGGCAAAACAAGCUGUGACAACCAGUCCAAUAAGGCCGGAACCUUUCUUCGCUGUGGGUACUCACACUUUACGAAUGAAGCUAUAGAAAACCUUACUGGCAACAAGCGUCUGGGUUUCGACAGGCGAGAUUAUUUCUGCGAGUGUUCAAUAAAAAACGAUUCAAAGAACUAAUUACUCUUCACAGAGAAAUACCAAAUAAGGUGUCAUGAGUCACGGAUUACAGACUCCUAGAUUGCCCCGCUAUAGCAAGAAGAAAGGCUAUGGCUAUCGAGCCAAUAAAUCUUAUGUGAGUAUAUACAUUACAACCAUAAACCUAAAGGCUUUCCAAGCAUAAUUAAUUUUACUGGCCUAAACGAAGUGUGAAUGCGAUAUUAGCAUUGAGCACAAAAGACAACGGGUCACAGUGCAUUCCUUGAAUCUUAAUCUCUCUUUGAAUCCUAAUCUCUCUAACUGAACACUAAUUUGUGGGCACACAAUCAUGUUGAGGUUAAAAAUCUUGAAGUGUGCAAAUUAUCGAUAUUUUUAGGAGGAGAAUCAUUCAGAUAAUUUCUUGCUCCAAUACAUAUCUAGCUUUCGCUGGACUGCAGUUGAAGUAUUUUUCGACAGUCAAUCCAUCGAUAAUUUGGUUGCAUGUGAUAAAAUCCAACAAAACAAAUUUAAGACUGGUUGAAACCGUAUUUGCGAGAAUUAUUUUAUCCAUACUAAACAGUUCUUGGAAUCAUAAAAAAGCGACGUUCUUAGCUGUAUACAUAUAUAUCUUUUUUGAGCCUUGCUACUAGGAUCAGUCCUAUUACUUUCCUAGGCUAAUUCAGCCAUUUUCUUACUAAGUAAAUUCCAAAUAAAACGUUUGACUUUUUUUAGCGCCCACUGUAGACCGGAACCAAAUAAAAGCAUAUAAUCUAUGAUAUACUGCAGCCUAACAAAAACAAGCAAGUGCAGAACUCUUGAAGACCUGGUGUAUAUAUCUAUCAAGCUACAUACUCCAGUAACGGCAUACAAAAUUGUUACCAUUAAAUCAAAGAGUGGAGUUACCGUUAUGUUUUAUACGUGCUUUGUUUGUUUUAAUAUUAUCUUCAAAAUUAAAAGAAAAUAAGAAAUAUCUUUAUCUUGGUCUUAUUUCCCAUUAAACCGUUAUAAUCCACACAAAGCGCUAUCUCCGUCACUGGAAAAUUCGAACGCUCCAUUUCUUUUAAGAAUAAAUUAGAAAUUUCCAUAUACUUCAAAUAGAUUUUAAUCCACGUGGAAAUGUCGUGCAAUAAACCAAGCCGUUAUAAAUAGCAACACGGAUAAAAAACAACAACUGCUGAGGGGAAUAUGCAUUAUAAGUGAGAUUAUAUGGCGAAGGAGAUAUUAAAAGGCAAAGAAACCCUAAGAAUCGAGUGAGAUUUAAAACAAAAAGCGCUGAAUGCAAAAGUAAAGAAAAAGUAGUAAAGGACAACAGCUAAAAACUCGGCAAAGAAUGCAACACAGAGUGCGAAACGAUGCAAUAAGCAAAGGAACAAUAACAGUAAUAAUAACUUCUACAAAGCGGUGUAAAAAGUAAUGGACAGACAAAGCUGCCGGAUUGUAAAACCAAACAUAUAUGUAUAGUAUAUAUAUAAAUGUAUGUGUGUAUGUGUAUGAAGGGACUUUUUAAGCACAAGUAUGUAGAAUAGUGUUUCUGUGGAGACGCCACCAUCAAGGACGGGAAUCAGGGGCAGGGAAUACAAGAUAUGCGCUUCACGACAAAAUGCAUGAGGAUACGGCGGGAAAGCUACAACACAGAGAUGCUUUGCUUGUUUGCAGCAACAUAUUAUUAAAGUUUUCUUAGUUUCGCGACGCGUUUGUGAGUGCGGUGGGGGCGGUGAGGCUGCGUGGGCAAGGAAAUCUAUCAAAUUGAAUUGUGUUGUUAUGCAGAUGAACACAAAACUUAUGGAACUUGUACACGGCAAAUCUAGUAGUUAGAUACUUCGAGCGAGAGUUGAGUGAAGCAGCGAAAAAAGUCGAAACGCACAAAAUAUCAUGUAGCGCCAAGGAUAAGCAGCGAAAACCAAAAGAAAAAAGUACGAAACUGAAACUAAAAAUAUAUUGGAAAUAUGUGAUUGUAUGUGUGUGUGUGUGUGUGUGUGUUAAGAAACUGGUAAUAAGGAACGAAUAACUACAAAUACUAAGAAGAUGUACAGUUCACGCUAAAGUGGAAAUAUAUACGUCUGUAUAUAGUAUAUGUGUGUGUGAUUGUUGUUGUGUGCUUUUAUGCAGAAACUGGAACAGUUCACUGCGCAUUGUAGCUGCCCCAUGUCAAUAUCACAGCGCACUAGGUAAACUAUAGACCUACUUAUGCACCGGUGUGUGUGUGUGUGUGUGAGUAUGUGUAUGUGUAGGCAAAGGCGAGCGCUAGAUGACUACUCGGAGCUAGGGAUUUUAGGGAAAUUAAAAUUGUUCUUCUAUCAAUACACACACACAUACAUGGCUACGUGUAGAAAUAUUUAUUUAUUUGUUUGCUGACUCAUUACUUGCUAUUGGAACACCUGCGGAGUGGGGGGGCAGGGGUAUGGUAACAUUUAUGGUUGAACGCUACAUAAACACUCACACACAUGUCGCUACGGUUAAUGCAUGUGUGCGCACUAGAGGGUUAAGCGAGUAAUACUUUUCGUCGAAAUUUCUAAAUUUUUUGUUUUUGUUAUUUUUUUUGUUUAUUUUUUUAAGCGCUAAAUACACUUUCAGAUGCAAGUUAAAGCAACAACAAUCUCGAAAGUAAUAACAACGAAAUAAUGACGGAAAACUGAACAUUAAGUUAAUGUGAUGAGAGUCGAUUUCUAAGCAAGUGUUCUUAACAAAAACAAAAACAACAAAAUAGUGUUUACUUAUGUAUGCGCAGCAUCCUUAAUUGUAAUGUUGCAAUGAUGCUUUAUUUUUUCGUUUUUUUU